UACGUAGGGUCCAAGCGUUAUCCGGAAUCACUGGGCGUAAAGGGUGCGUAGGCGGGUCUUUAAGUCAGGGGUGAAAUCCUGGAGCUCAACUCCAGAACUGCCUUUGAUACUGAAGAUCUUGAGUUCGGGAGAGGUGAGUGGAACUGCGAGUGUAGAGGUGAAAUUCGUAGAUAUUCGCAAGAACACCAGUGGCGAAGGCGGCUCACUGGCCCGAUACUGACGCUGAGGCACGAAAGCGUGGGGAGCAAACAGG
rnacentral:rRNA from 1 species